rfam:Colletotrichum tofieldiae strain 0861 Ct_v4_contig216, whole genome shotgun sequence.
ACAUACGACCAUAUCCACUGGAGAACUCGGGAUCCCGUCCGCUCUCCCAUAGAUAAGCCAGUGAGGGCCGGAUUAGUAGUUGGGUCGGUGACGACCAGCGAAUACCUGGUGUUGUAUGUU